GACGAACGCUGGCGGCGUGCUUAACACAUGCAAGUCGAACGGAAAGGCCCUGCUUUUGUGGGGUGCUCGAGUGGCGAACGGGUGAGUAACACGUGAGUAACCUGCCCUUGACUUUGGGAUAACUUCAGGAAACUGGGGCUAAUACCGGAUAGGAGCUCCUGCUGCAUGGUGGUGGUUGGAAAGUGUCGGCGGUUGGGGAUGGACUCGCGGCUUAUCAGCUUGUUGGUGGGGUAGUGGCUUACGAAGGCUUUGACGGGUAGCCGGCCUGAGAGGGUGAGCGGCCACAUUGGGACUGAGAUACGGCCCAGACUCCUACGGGAGGCAGCAGUGGGGAAUAUUGCACAAUGGGCGGAAGCCUGAUGCAGCAACGCCGCGUGCGGGAUGACGGCCUUCGGGUUGUAAACCGCUUUCGCCUGUGACGAAGCGUGAGUGACGGUAAUGGGUAAAGAAGCACCGGCUAACUACGUG
rnacentral:rRNA from 1 species